rnacentral:rRNA from 1 species
UACGGGAUAACAUAUUGAGAGGCAUCUCUUAAAUAUCAAAGGUGAGCCAGUACAGGAUGGACCCGCGUCUGAUUAGCUAGUUGGUAAGGUAACGGCUUACCAAGGCGACGAUCAGUAGCCGACCUGGGAGGGUGAUCGGCCACAUUGGAACUGAGACACGGUCCAAACUCCUACGGGAGGCAGCAGUGGGGAAUAUUGCACAAUGGGCGAAAGCCUGAUGCAGCAACGCCGCGUGAGUGAUGAAGGCCUUCGGG